UAGUAGUAUUUAUUGAGUCUUUUCUUUUUCGAUUACAUUGGAAUACUGGAAUGUACUUAUCGAUAACAAUAUAAUAUACUAAGAACUAUUGUUGUUUGGUUCUAAUACACGAUUAUUUGUCUUAUUUGCUACUUGCUUAACAUGAAGUUGUGUAUAUGAAUGAAAAAUCAUAACAAAUGAAUUUUGUAAAUAGAAGACUUGCUCCCGGUCCUCACUGUCUCUAACAGAGCUUGAUUGUCUGUUAAAUAAUAAAUAAUCUUAAAAUUAAAAAACAUCUAAAACGAAAUAACAAUAAGUCUGUUAAUCACUAUAUCGAACAGAUCGGAAUGGUUUAACCAAAUAAUAAAUGUAGUAAAGUAUCACAGAUCGUGUGUAUGAACUAUCGAACGUUCAAAUACAUAUAUAAGGCAAGAUAUAUCACAUUUUCGUUUUGCUAUUAGAAUAUAUUGCAGGGACUUGCUCAAAUAUCUUCCCGAUGUUAGACAAUAAGGAUAUUGGACGAAAAUCGGAUGGGCUAAUGGAUUCGGUGUUUUUUUUAUUGGAAGUAUUUUUGCUACCUUCCACUCAGCCGGAAAGUACCCAUUAUUUAUGCAGUGAUUAAAUAUGCAAGGUCGAUGAAAUGGAGGCUAUCUGCAUUCUGAAAGGCAUUAAAUUCAGCAUCAAGUGUGAAAAUAGUACGAAGGAUGACAUUUAUGGUGUUUGAUAUUCUUGAGUGGAAAUCUUCAAUCGGACGUGGAGGCAAGCUUUCGCGGAAAGUAUUUGAGUAAAACUCGUGGAACUGAUGAGCUAUAUCAGAGCUAUUGGUUCAUAAUAGACGAGGGCAUGAUGCGGCAAGACGCUGAAUCCAUGUCUUGCUUAAAAUUGCUCCAAUUUGUAUCCUUAUAUGAUGUAAAGAUGCGAGGGGUUCUCAUAAGAAGCUCUGUUUGAUCCAUACGCAGGGACAAUUUAAUUGGAAAAUGGUCUGAGAAGGAUGACAAGGAUGCAACGCGCUCUAUUCGACAUGCAUUCUCAUGUGUAUUGCAAGUUUUUUAUAGACAUAUAGCUUCAUGUAUGUUCGAUGAAAUAAAAGCUCGAUAUAAUCGAGAAACUUGCAUAUUUAUUCCAAAACCCA